rnacentral:rRNA from 1 species
GUGGCCCCAAUCACGCGAGCCACCCGC